UACGGGGGGGGGCAAGCGUUGUUCGGAUUUACUGGGCGUAAAGCGCACGUAGGCGGAUCGAUCAGUCAGGGGUGAAAUCCCAGAGCUCAACUCUGGAACUGCCUUUGAUACUGUCGAUCUGGAGUAUGGAAGAGGUGAGUGGAAUUCCGAGUGUAGAGGUGAAAUUCGUAGAUAUUCGGAGGAACACCAGUGGCGAAGGCGGCUCACUGGUCCAUUACUGACGCUGAGGUGCGAAAGCGUGGGGAGCAAACAGG
rnacentral:rRNA from 1 species